AGCUCGACCGGGUCCACGCCGCGGGUGACCGUCAGGUAGUCGCGGAUCGCGACGCCGUGCCGUCCCUC
rnacentral:sRNA from 1 species